rnacentral:lncRNA from 1 species
GGAGAAGAAAUAAGUAAGUUUCAUAUCCAUUUAGCUCAAAAAAGACAUACUUAGCUAAUUUAGCUCCAAGAAGAGGAGAAGAGGAGAAAUUAAAAGAAGGAAGAAAAAGGAAGAAGAGAAGAAGAGAAGAAGAAGAAGAAGAAGGAGAAGAAGAAGAAGAAGGAGAAGAAGAAGGAGAAGAAGAAGGAGAAGAAGGAGG